GAUGAACGCUGGCGGCGUGCCUAAUACAUGCAAGUCGAGCGAACGGACGAGAAGCUUGCUUUUCUGAUGUUAGCGGUGGACGGGUGAGUAACACGUGGAUAACCUACCUAUAAGACUGGGAUAACUUCGGGAAACCGGAGCUAAUACCGGAUAAUAUUUUGAGCCGCAUGGUUCAAAAGUGAAAGACGGUCUUGCUGUCACUUAUAGAUGGAUCCGCGCUGCAUUAGCUAGUUGGUAAGGUAACGGCUUACCAAGGCAACGAUGCAUAGCCGACCUGAGAGGGUGAUCGGCCACACUGGAACUGAGACACGGUCCAGACUCCUACGGGAGGCAGCAGUAGGGAAUCUUCCGCAAUGGGCGAAAGCCUGACGGAGCAACGCCGCGUGAGUGAUGAAGGUCUUCGGAUCGUAAAACUCUGUUAUUAGGGAAGAACAUAUGUGUAAGUAACUGUGCACAUCUUGACGGUACCUAAUCAGAAAGCCACGGCUAACUACGUG
rnacentral:rRNA from 1 species